rnacentral:sRNA from 1 species
GAGGGCCCGCGGCCCGGGGGGCUGAGGCGCCCGCCGCCUGCCGCGGGGGCCGCUCGCGUCCUCCAUGGAGGCCGGAGAGGAACCGCUGCUGCUGGCCGAACUCAAGCCCGGGCGCCCCCACCAGUUUGACUGGAAGUCCAGCUGUGAAACCUGGAGCGUCGCCUUCUCCCCAGAUGGCUCCUGGUUUGCUUGGUCUCAAGGACACUGCAUCGUCAAACUGAUCCCCUGGCCGUUGGAGGAGCAGUUCAUCCCUAAAGGGUUUGAAGCCAAAAGCCGAAGUAGCAAAAAUGAGACGAAAGGGCGGGGCAGCCCAAAAGAGAAGACGCUGGACUGUGGUCAGAUUGUCUGGGGGCUGGCCUUCAGCCCGUGGCCUUCCCCACCCAGCAGGAAGCUCUGGGCACGCCACCACCCCCAAGUGCCCGAUGUCUCUUGCCUGGUUCUUGCUACGGGACUCAACGAUGGGCAGAUCAAGAUCUGGGAGGUGCAGACAGGGCUCCUGCUUUUGAAUCUUUCCGGCCACCAAGAUGUCGUGAGAGAUCUGAGCUUCACACCCAGUGGCAGUUUGAUUUUGGUCUCCGCGUCACGGGAUAAGACUCUUCGCAUCUGGGACCUGAAUAAACACGGUAUGGGAAGUGAAGGAACUACUUGGCAACUCCAAAAAUACUGUAUUUGCUUUCUCCACUUUACCAGUGUCAUUUUUAUCUAAAACAGUGUUUCUUGAUGUUUUUUUCUGUGAUUGCCCCUUAAGGAGCCUUUUAGACAGUUUUUUCCUAAUCGCCCCUGCCCGCCCCAAAGAUAAUACUAUACCAACUAGAGUUUAAUACCAAACAUAUACUGUGUGUCUAUUUAGGCUAUUUUAAUAUCGAAGAUAUAUUGUAUAUCUGCUUAUGUGCUGAAUGCAUGUCUAUGCUUUGUAUGUAAAAAAAUGUUAAGAUUUUUUUGGCUACCAAGAACUAGUUUGUACCCUCUUGGGGUGAAUUGCCCCUGUUAAAAAUAUUUGAUCUAGAA